rnacentral:rRNA from 1 species
GCAGCCGCCGCGGUAAUACGUAGGGGGCGAGCGUUAUCCGGAAUUAUUGGGCGUAAAGCGUGCGCAGGCGGUUCUAUAAGACAGAUGUGAAAUCCCCGGGCUCAACCUGGGAACUGCAUUUGUGACUGUAGAGCUGGAGUGCGGCAGAGGGGGAUGGAAUUCCGCGUGUAGCAGUGAAAUGCGUAGAUAUGCGGAGGAACACCGAUGGCGAAGGCAAUCCCCUGGGCCUGCACUGACGCUCAUGCACGAAAGCGUGGGGAGCAGACAGGAUUAGAUACCCCCGUAGUCCCUGUCUCUUAUAC